rnacentral:rRNA from 1 species
UGGUGGAGUGAUUUGUCUGGUUAAUUCCGUUAACGAACGAGACCUCAACCUGCUAAAUAGGUCCACGAAUUCCUCGGGAUUCGUGUGGCCUUCUUAGAGGGACUAUCGGUGAUUUAGCCGACGGAAGUUUGAGGCAAUAACA